GUAUAAGUUUAUCAACGCUUUUUUAGGGCGAGGACAUAGAUUACAUUCUAUUAGACUGGGUUUAUGAUGAAAGACGUAGGGGCCUUUUUACGGACCCUUACAUUAAGUUCACAGGUGUGUAUGGAUUAAGGGCUCCGGCGUGCACGUGCCCCGAAAGGCCAGCUACAACCCUCGCCUAUAAUUUCAAUAAUGAUCCUUCCGCAGGUUCACCUACGGAAA
rnacentral:misc_RNA from 1 species